rnacentral:rRNA from 1 species
AUACGUAGGUGACAAGCGUUAUCCGGAUUUACUGGGCGUAAAGGGCGUGUAGGCGGUCUUGCAAGUCAGAAGUGAAAUUCCUGAGCUCAACUCGGGCGCUGCUUCUGAAACUGCAGGACUUGAGUGCUGGAGGGGAUAGCGGAAUUCCUAGUGGAGCGGUAAAAUGCGCAGAUAUUAGGAAGAACACCGGUGGCGAAGGCGGCUAUCUGGACAGUAACUGACGCUGAGGCGCGAAAGCGUGGGGAGCAAACAGGAUUAGAUCCCCUGGUAGUCCACGCCGUAAACGAUGAAUACUAGGUGUAGGGGGUAUCGACUCCCUCUGUGCCGCAGUUAACACAAUAAGUAUUCCGCCUGGGGAGUACGGCCGCGAGGUUGAAACUCAAAUGAAUUGACGGGG